rnacentral:rRNA from 1 species
GAUUAACGCUGGCGGCGUGCCUAACACAUGCAAGUCGAGCGGCAGCGAGUUUUACACUGAAUUCUGGAAGCUUCUAGUUGCAAGAGAAGAUUUAUUCAAGAAUUUUGUGUAAAAUGUCGGCGAGCGGCGGACGGCUGAGUAACGCGUGGGAACGUACCCCAAAGUGCGGGAUAACGCAUCGAAAGGUGUGCUAAUACCGCAUAUGGUCUUCGGAUUAAAGCCUUCGGGCGCUUUGGGGACGGCCUGCGUAAGAUUAGAUAGUUGGUGGGGUAAUGGCCUACCAAGUCGACGAUCUUUAACUGGUUUGAGAGGAUGAGCAGUCAGACUGGAACUGAGACACGGUACAGACUCCUACGGGAGGCAGCAGUGAGGAAUCUUCCAAAAUGGGCGAAAGCCUGAUGGAGCAACGCCGCGUGCAGGAUGAAGGCAUUCGGGUUGUAAACUGCUUUUAUAAGUGAGGAUUAUGACAGUAACUUAUGAAUAAGGAUCGGCUAACUACGUG